GUCACCUUCCUUUUUCGAAACAAAAAAAAACCUUGCACCAGCCGGGGAGGAUGAUUUGGUAAUAAAACCCUUCUUCAAAUUCUCUGUGAUAUACUCUUCAAGUACUUUGUUUUCUGUCACAGAGAGGGGAUACACGGUACCCCUAGGGGGCAUAGUACCAGGCAACAAAUCAAUAGCGCAGUCAUAAGAACGAUGGGGUGGUAAUUUGUUUGCUUCCCUUUGUUCAAAGACUGCCUUGAGAUCC